GAAGCAGGCCAGACAGUCGCUGGCGAUCGCAAGAUCGCGGGAGGAAGGUCCGGACUCCAUAGAGCAGGGUGACGGCUAACGGCCGUCCGCCGUGAGGCGCGGAAUAGGGCCACAGAGACGAGCGUAUUCAGUUACGGUGAAACGCGGUAACCUCCACCCGGAGCAAUUCCAAAUAGGCACGCGUUGAUGUGGCUCGCGGAGCGUGCGGGUAGGAAGCUUGAGCGCCGGAGUAAUCCGGUGCCUAGAGGAAUGACUGUCACGCCGAUUGCAAGAUCGAUGCACAGAAUCCGGCCUAUCGGCCUACUUCACAU
rnacentral:RNase_P_RNA from 1 species